UACGUAGGGUGCAAGCGUUGUCCGGAAUUAUUGGGCGUAAAGAGCUCGUAGGCGGUCUGUCGCGUCUGCUGUGAAAACUCGGGGCUUAACCCCGGCCUGCAGUGGGUACGGGCAGACUAGAGUGCGGUAGGGGAGACUGGAAUUCCUGGUGUAGCGGUGAAAUGCGCAGAUAUCAGGAGGAACACCGGUGGCGAAGGCGGGUCUCUGGGCCGUAACUGACGCUGAGGAGCGAAAGCGUGGGGAGCGAACAGG
rnacentral:rRNA from 1 species